rnacentral:rRNA from 1 species
GACGAACCGUGCGAACGUUGUUCGGAAUCACUGGGCUUAAAGGGCGCGUAGGCGGUCUGCCAAGUCAGGGGUGAAAGCCUCCAGCUUAACUGGAGAAGUGCCCUUGAUACUGGCGGACUCGAGGGAGGCAGGGGUCGUGGGAACUUCCGGUGGAGCGGUGAAAUGCGUUGAUAUCGGAAGGAACGCCGGUGGCGAAAGCGCACGACUGGUCCUCUUCUGACGCUGAGGCGCGAAAGCCAGGGGAGCAAACGGG